GACGUAGGGCGCGAGCGUUGUCCGGAUUUAUUGGGCGUAAAGAGCUCGUAGGCGGCUUGUUGCGUCGGCUGUGAAAACCCAUGGCUCAACCGUGGGCUUGCAGCCGAUACGGGCAGGCUAGAGUUCGGUAGGGGAGACUGGAAUUCCUGGUGUAGCGGUGAAAUGCGCAGAUAUCAGGAGGAACACCAAUGGCGAAGGCAGCUCGCUGGGACGGUACUGACGCUGAGACGCGAAAGCGUGGGGAGCGAACAGG
rnacentral:rRNA from 1 species